UCACAAGUGAACGCAGCCGAGAUUUCCUCGAACCUCCAGCGACUGGGGGCGCUGUACUAAUGCCUGAGGGCCAGUCCGGGCUGCUUCCUUUCGCGGUUUCCACUGGAGGACUUGGGAAGGGGGUAGUCUGAGACGGCGAGUCCAACCCCAGUAACUGGCCUUUCAGAAACACUGAUGGGAACACAAUGGUUAAUAAAAUCCUUUGUUAAUGACUGACCAUCAAACACGAUACCUUGGCCAGACCUAAAGUCACAAGGGAUUGCUAAGUUAUGUUUUAUGUGUGUCAUGCAUAUGCAUCAUAGAGUUGGACUAUACUUUCUGAUAAUCUCUACCAUUUUAUAGGUGGUUCUGGAGGCCCCUUCUCCGAUUGAGCACAAGGUUCUGCCUUGAAAGAGAACAAAGGUGCGGGCUGCAGAGCACUUCUGGAGGCUGACAUGGCUGUAAAAUGACUCCAUUUCCAGAUGAACCAACUGGGCUCCUGUUUCUCUUGGACAAAGUCUUGGUACAUUCCUUUGUUCUGCCUAAUCCCAUGGACCAAAUACUCAGGUGAAAACAUUUUUAGGAAUAGUCUGAAAUGAGGAUAAUAACCAUUUACUUUUACCACACUCCACUUUUCCAGGAAAGAUAUUUCUUCUUUAACUGAUGCUUAUUAAGAACAUUCCAUACUUGCUUCUUCCUCCAAAUCAAAUGUUGAACUAAAAAAUAUUAAAAUCAGUUUGCAUGGAUUCGCAAAGUAAAAACCUGUGGGCUAAAUCUUCUAUAGGAUUACUUAAAACAGAUAGAAAUGUGAAUGAGUGUAAUCGCGAGCUGAAUAAUGACCUCUUUUUAAAAGGUUAAAGCAUUUAUGUUUGCAGCGCCUCCCCUGAGUUUGUAGCCACAACCCUUGAGGUGGUCUGUAGUGACAUUAUUCAUUUGAAGUGGGACAAGCUAUUUUAAAAAGGCAUAUUUAAAAUCACAUUCAAUACAUUGAAUCUAUGUUGAAAAAUUAUUAAUCAUUUAAAAUAGUAAGAGCUUGAUUAGCUAGAAACAUUAGUUAACCUGAAAUGCAUUUGUCACACUCUGUGGUUCGGUAGGACAGACGUUACAGAGAGCUGGUGAGGAUAGUGACAAUAUCAAAAGCAACUUCCAGAGGAAAAGUUUUCUUCAACAAAGAGUAUGCCCUCUUUGGCUCAUAAAAAAUAUAUGAUUGAACUCUCCAAAGUUUUAACCCAGUGAGCAUGACUGAAGUAAUUUUGGCCAAGAAAAAUCUCAAUAAUGCUCCCAUAGAAUAUUUCUUUUUUUAAACAAAAUAGCUUUCUGAUGAACUCACCAUGUAAUUCAAGUUACUAUGUGGAUGAAUGUUUUGUUUGGAACUAAGAUACAGGAGUCAAUUAUCUUUUGGAGGACA